rnacentral:misc_RNA from 1 species
AUACUCCUUUUCUAUUUAUCAAUUAUCAUCUCCAACCAUCCGAUCUCCUCUCUCUGUUCUUCCAUCUUAUGCCUUCAAAUUUAUCAAUCGGCAAAUACUCAGCACGUAGGAUCUCCAAUCAACAUGAAAUCUCUAUUGAAUUGUCUCGUAAAGAUGGUAAGUUAAGAACUCAUGGUAGAUCCUUCGAUGAUGGUCUUGCUGGAAAAUUUUCAGGUCAGUAUUUAAAAGCAUGCAGUUCAAUAGUUUUCCUUGAAACUAAUUUCUGUUUGAAUGCAGGUACUAGUAAUGAUAAUGGAGGGUCAAGGUCCGUGGAUUUUGAGAUGAGUGGUCCUGCAGCUUCAAAUAUUGACUUCGAUGCAAGAUCCUGCAGCUUCAAAAGUCACUGUCACAUGGGAUUCCAAGUCCAUCGGGUAUCAAUCCCUUGUUUUUUCUCUUCGCUAAACCAUAAAUUCAAUGCGUUUGCUCGUCUCAAUGACUUUCUUUCCCAAAGUGAUUCUUUCGACGCCUCCCUUAUCCUUCAAUUUGCCACUCUCUUGACCCUACAACCUGUUAUUGUCUUUUUAAAGGAAAUGUUUCUUUCAUUAGCUCUGUUUUCGUGUGACACACUUUCCUUCUCAGCCUCAAGGCAUGUGCUGAUAAUUUGAAUGUUUAGAAGAGUAUGGAGAUUCAUGGGUUUUUAUUUAAACUUGAUUUUGAUUUGGAUGUCUGUGUGGUAACACCCUUUUGCUUUCAAUGAUAAUUAUGGGAGUUUGAGGAAUAUUUAGAGGGUGUUUGGUGAAAUGUUUGGAACAGAUGCUGUGACAUGGAAUAUAGUCCUUGGAGUGUUUUCAGAUAAUGGGUUUUACGUGGAGGCUAUUGAUAUGUUUCGUGCAGUGAAUGAGGUCUGGAUCAAAGUUGAACAUGGUGUGCUGUGAGUGUGUUGCCAGUAUGUACUGGGCUUGAAGAUGAGUUAAUGGCAGAGCAAAAAUCCAACCAAACCCAUAGUACUAAAAAUGAAGCUAAAGGUCCUUCGAUAUCAAGCAGCAACGCCGGAGGCACAAGGCUCCAUUGUUGGACAAAAAGAACAUCGACAACAAGAGAUUCCCUUUUGUUUGUGUUCAUGGGUUGAUUUUUUUUAUUUUUUUUUUU